GGUUGCGAUCAUACCAGCACUAAUGCACCGGAUCCCAUCAGAACUCCGCAGUUAAGCGUGCUUGGGCGAUAGUAGUACUAGGAUGGGUGACCCCCUGGGAAGUCCUCGUGUUGCAACCC
rnacentral:rRNA from 1 species